UUGUGUCUGUGCAAAGACAGGCAUGCCCUUUAGGAUUCUCAAAUCUGUUUUCCCGGGCAAAUAGAGGAACUAUGUUGCUGGGGAAGGAUAAACUCUAGAUUCUUCUUCUCCAGUUUGAGGAUGAGGAGAGAGAAGCAUGCGAGCAAGUGACAGGAAAUGACACCAUGGAACGGCCAGUGAUGCACUUGCAGAUGAAGGGGCAAACCUGUGGUAUCCCAGAGACCACCCCAGUCACCAGAACUGUCUCAGGAUGAGAGGAGUUGGAGGCCAGAGUAAGGAGGAGCAGAGCAGGUGUCUGGAGGCUGUUAGAGCACCCCACGGUGAUGGGACUGGAGGAGGGAGAGGAGGAGGUGGUGGAGGAGGACCAGGGAGAGGAGGAGGAGGAAGAGGAGGAGCAGUGUGCCGGAGGAGAAGACCCUCGUCCCUGCUGGAGAACCUGACUCUGUGCCGGGAGGCCUGGUCUCCUGGUGCACCCUGGGAUAGGGAGGGGGUCCUCUCUGCUCUCUGGGGUCGCCCUGCAGGGAGUUUCCUAGUUGUGACAGACUCCUCCUCCAGUCCUCUUCUUCUGUGUGUGUCUUCAGGAGGAGACGUCUCAGAGUUCCCUGUUGAGCACCCCGGAACAGGUAAGCUACACA